UACGAAGGGGGCUAGCGUUGCUCGGAAUGAUUGGGCGUAAAGGGCGCGUAGGCGGAUGGCACAGUCAGAUGUGAAAUUCCCGGGCUUAACCUGGGGGCUGCAUUUGAUACGUGUUGUCUAGAGUGAGGAAGAGGGUUGUGGAAUUCCCAGUGUAGAGGUGAAAUUCGUAGAUAUUGGGAAGAACACCGGUGGCGAAGGCGGCAACCUGGUCCUUGACUGACGCUGAGGCGCGAAAGCGUGGGGAGCAAACAGG
rnacentral:rRNA from 1 species